AGAAGAUAGACAGCCAAAUACUAGAUCAUCACUUUGAAUGCCUUCUACCAACUGAGAAGGUAAAUGUGCACAAGCCCAGGAUGAGGAGAUUAUUCUUAAACGGGAAAGGAUCUUAAUUUACACUCCCAUCUCUGCACACAUCCCAUGUGUCCUAACUUAGUCACGAGGGCACAUCUAGCUGAAAGGGUGGCACAUCUAGCUGAAAGGGUGUAUUCACUAUUAGUGCAGCCAUUUGUCCAAGUAAACAUUUAUCUAUGGAAGAAAUGAGAAGUUAUAUUUUAAUAAUCUAAGGUAUAGACUGUGGCAGAGUCCAUUUUGAUUAUUAUACAUCAUUUUCCAUUAUCUUCCAUUAUUUUACAAAUAUCUAGUAUGCUCUGUUCUCCCUUGUUUAGAGUUCUGAAAGUUAAAAUUCCCUCUUGCUGUGUAUGUAUCACUUAUGAUAGACAAUAACUGUGCUUCUUU
rnacentral:lncRNA from 10 species